GUCAAGUGAUGAGUCCAAGGCAAAUGUGACUCCCUUCCUCUUGGUUCGACCUCUGACCUCUUGCUCUCGGUCUGUAAUCUUGGUGGCAGUAUAGAAGCUUCUUGCUGCCGCUGUAAGGCCAGACCCACAUCAGCUUCUCAGGCUGGUCUCCACUGUACUUUUUUCUGUCCACUGGAGUGUGAGUGGUACAGAAAUCAGUGGUGACCUACAGUAUGUUUCGAUACCGCAGAGUAGUGGUCAGCGGUUGUGACUCUUAAUGGAGGCUAAAGGGUGGUAUGAGCACGUAUCUUUGGUAAUCUGAUGUCA